AGAGUUUGAUCCUGGCUCAGAUUGAACGCUGGCGGCGUGCCUAACACAUGCAAGUCGAGCGGUAACAGGUGUAGCAAUACAUGCUGACGAGCGGCGAACGGGUGAGUAAUGCUUUGGAAUCUUCCCAGUAGUGGGGAAUAACCAGUCGAAAGAUUGGCUAAUACCGCAUACGUCUGUAAAGGGAAAGCGGGGGCUCGUAAGACCUCGCGCUAUUGGAUGAGCCAAAGUCGGAUUAGCUAGUUGGUGGGGUAAUGGCCUACCAAGGCGACAAUCCGUAGCUGGUCUGAGAGGACGACCAGCCACACCGGAACUGAGACACGGUCCGGACUCCUACGGGAGGCAGCAGUGGGGAAUAUGGGACAAUGGGGGGAACCCCGAUCCAGCGACGCCGCGUGUGUGAACAAGGCCGCGGGUUGUAAAGCACUUUUAGUGGGGAA
rnacentral:rRNA from 1 species